rnacentral:lncRNA from 1 species
UUAACGAUUUGCACAAUCGCAUCUAAUUUGUCUGGAGGCAAGUUCUGCAAGUGGCCACUAAGCUUCUGCUUCUCUUCAUACGUCAUAUCUCUUUUAUUCGGUUCAUUUGCCUUUGGCUUUUUCAGAGCAGGGGUCCUCGCACUGGUCGGUGUUCUGCCAGGCGUUGUUGUAUUUGGUUUUGGGUGCUGCACGUCCGCAGGGCGACUACUCCAAUCCAUUGUACUAUUCCUCACAUUGAUAGGCGGUGGAGGCAUGGUAGGACCAAGUCUAGACCUCAUCGUAGAAGCCGGAAGAUUCAUCUCAUAAGCAGUGACGAACCUCAUCUCACGAUUAUAAUCCGACUCUAUAACAGCCCACCUCUCCUCAAACAUCUGUAACAGCACUUGCGCC